rnacentral:rRNA from 1 species
UACAGAGGGUGCUAGCGUUGUUCGGAAUCAUUGGGCGUAAAGGGCGUGUAGGCGGUUUGUUAAGUCAUGUGUGAAAUCCCUCGGCUCAACCGGGGAACGACGCAUGAAACUGGCAAGCUAGAGUACCAAAGAGGGGGGUGGAAUUCCCGGUGUAGCGGUGAAAAUGCGUAGAUAUCAAGAGGAACACCUGAGGUGAAGACGGGUUGCUGGGCUGACACUGACGCUGAGGCGCGAAAGCCAGGGGAGCAAACGGG